rnacentral:precursor_RNA from 9 species
AAUGGAUGCCAUAGUAACCUUUUUGCUGUGUCAGCUGUCAUGAUGCCUUCUUGAAGCUCUACAAAGAAGACGUGAUGGCAUCUGGCCCAGCGAAGAGAGGAAGAGCAGCAGCACCAG